CAUUCACCUGUAGCAAUUAGCCUCCUAGAUCUACUGUCAUAUCUGCAGAAGGCAAAUGCCAGCUGAAGAAGGUGUCCAUCUGUAGAAAGUUUGGAGCUUUGAAGCAGCUUUCAUGGGGGUGCUUUCAAAGGGAAUGAAAGCAGAAGGCAUUUGCUGCGUGGUGAAAGCACUUGUUUGCAACCUCUAACCUAGGCAACUGGGAAAGUUUACAAUGAAGGGGAAGAGACAGCAGGAAGGGAGAAGAAGGCUGCUCUACAAGAGCCAAGUGUCCAUCUCAGCAUGGCUGGGGAGUGGAGGAGUGACCGAGUGACCAUCCAUAAUGUUGCAGUAAGUGAGGAGGGCUAAGAAUGCUGCAGGCUUGUAACAAGGCAGCCAUGGCCAUGUUCGCAUGUGCACAUUCACAUGCUUCCUGAUGCACCUUAAGGCAUUCUGACAGCAAAUGCAUUGGCACAGGGUGAUUUGGAGCUUGAGAGGGCAGGGACUAAGCAGAUUAGGG
rnacentral:lncRNA from 1 species